UACGGAAGGCAGCAGUGGGGAAUAUUGCACAAUGGGCGCAAGCCUGAUGCAGCCAUGCCGCGUGUAUGAAGAAGGCCUUCGGGUUGUAAAGUACUUUCAGUCGUGAGGAAGGUGUUAAGGUUAAUAACCUUAGCAAUUGACGUUAGCGACAGAAGAAGCACCGGCUAACUCCGUGCCAGCAGCCGCGGUAAUACGGAGGGUGCGAGCGUUAAUCGGAAUUACUGGGCGUAAAGGGCACGCAGGCGGUUAAUUAAGUUGGAUGUGAAAUCCCCGGGCUUAACCUGGGAAUGGCAUUCAAGACUGGUUAGCUAGAGUCUUGUAGAGGGGGUAGAAUUCCAUGUGUAGCGGUGAAAUGCGUAGAGAUGUGGAGGAAUACCGGUGGCGAAGGCGGCCCCUGGCAAAGGACUGACGCUCAUGUGCGAAAGCGUGGGGAGCGAAACAGGGAUUAGAUA
rnacentral:rRNA from 1 species